rnacentral:rRNA from 1 species
UACGUAGGGUGCGAGCGUUAAUCGGAAUUACUGGGCGUAAAGCGUGCGCAGGCGGUUCGUUGUGUCGGUGGUGAAAGCCCCGGGCUCAACCUGGGAAUGGCCAUGGAAACUGGCGAACUGGAGUGUGGCAGAGGGGGGUGGAAUUCCGCGUGUAGCAGUGAAAUGCGUAGAGAUGCGGAGGAACACCGAUGGCGAAGGCAGCCCCCUGGGCUAGCACUGACGCUGAGGUGCGAAAGCGUGGGGAGCAAACAGG